rnacentral:rRNA from 1 species
UACGGAGGGAGCUAGCGUUGUUCGGAAUUACUGGGCGUAAAGCGCACGUAGGCGGCUUUGUAAGUUAGAGGUGAAAGCCCGGGGCUCAACUCCGGAACUGCCUUUAAGACUGCAUCGCUUGAAUCCAGGAGAGGUGAGUGGAAUUCCGAGUGUAGAGGUGAAAUUCGUAGAUAUUCGGAGGAACACCAGUGGCGAAGGCGGCUCACUGGCUCGGUACUGACGCUGAGGUGCGAAAGCGUGGGGAGCAAACAGG